AUGUGUUUGACACCAACAGAGUGGACGCCUAUAAGUACGAGCUGCUUGGAGGCCAGCAUACAGCCUUGGCAAGAAGGAUAGUAGCAGCCAAGUCUCCAGACAAUACGUUGCUACAGACUGUCCUUGCUGAGGUGUAUGUUGGUCUGACAGACGAUGAAGCACUUAGGCUCGCCUCUCGCCACAACACAAAUAGUCAUUUUAUCCACAAGAUGACACAUCGGGACUAUCUUGAGGCCUGCCGAUCGAAACUGUUUUCAAUGUGCGGUAAGGCUCCUGAGGAGGAAACCCCAAAAGACUCGGUGGAAUGGAAGGAUGUGUGCAAGCGAUGCAUUUUACCUCAGGAUAUGGGCCGCUGCACAAUGGAGAAUAUCUUUAAGCAGGCAAGCUUUACUAAGGAAGUCUGGG